rnacentral:lncRNA from 1 species
UUUUCAGGAUUCACAGCAAAUUUUUUAAAAGAUUUCUAUUUUUAACAUAUUCAUUAUAUUAUUAUUAGAGUUUGGUGAAUAUGCUAAAUGCCUCUCCCUUCCAUGAGUUUAUGAAUUUCAAUUAUAUCUUCUCUUCACCAUUGGGUAUCUGGCCUAAUCAAUAUUAAUAGAUAUUUAACCACAUUUUAAAGCUAUAAUAAUUAAAAUAGUAUAAUACUUAUAUAGGGAGGAACAUUAAAUACUCAGGAGAUGUAAUUUUUUUAGCCUCUUAAUUUGGCAGUGUAUCUCAAAAUGUGGUAUGUAUCAAAAUAAUCUGGCCCCAAUUUCAUAACUUCUAAGUGGGAUGCAGCUCUGCCAUGUAUUUGUUGAAGGCAGUGAUGGUGGCAGUGAUUCUAAAAGAGAAAUUCUCAAUUUUGUAGCUGAUUCGCAUAGAGGGCUUGUGACUCCAUCACCUACUGUCUGUGUGACCCUGUGCAAGUUACCUAACCUUCCAUGCCUCAGACUCUUCCUCUCUAGAAGAACUGAGCAUAAUAAUAGUGCCUUCUUCAUCGGAUUAUUAUGAUAGUUACAUGAAUUAAGACAUGGAAUGUGCCAGGUACUAUGUAUAGUAAGUAUCAAAUAUCUGCUAUUAUUAUGCUAAGGCCUGUUAUUACAAAGUAAAGUUACCUAAUAUUUAUUAUUUUUUACGUGUUAUAAAUUGUUAGGCACACUGAAGAUAUAAAUGCAUGAUCUCAUUUAUUUUUCAUAUCCACUCAAUAUGCUGAAUGUUGUCUUACCCAUUUCAGAGGUUGGAAAAGUGAGGUCCAGAGAGGCUUAGCUGGCUGAGUGUGACUGAGAAGAAAAGGCUUGGGGCUGCAAACUCCACAGAGAUAAAGUCCACAGACAGUUUGCUCAUUUCGGAAGAAAGCUCCUGACUGAGGUUCUUUAGAUGCGUUUAACGGAGGGACAGCUGUGCAGAAGCAUCACUGUCUCACUCUUUUCCAGACUGAUCAAAUGAAGCGUCUGUCAUGUCACACAUAUGGAGUUCUCUACCAACAGCAAAGGCUAUUUAGUCAAGUUCUACAGAUCAAAAGUCUAACACUGGUGUUAUUGGGCUGAAAUCCAGGCGAUGGCAGAGCUGCGCUCCUUUCUGGAGGCUCCGGGGAGAAUUCUCUUCCUUAACCUUUCAAGCUUCUCGAGGCCCUCUGCACUCCCUGGAGACAGGAGGAGAGAAGAAUCAUGGACUCCCUGGGCACAGCACCGCAGGUGGCUUUGCCAGUUCUCCCAGCCCCGCGCUGCUCCUGCGCCUGCGCUGAGCCUCCACGUGUCCUCAGGAGACUUAGCCUAGCCUGGGUAUCACCAGCAGUGGGCCAGGCCGCUUUGCCUUCAACUCCCAACAGUAACCUUGCAGAGGUCAGCCUGGGGCCACCAGGAGGAGUUAGUAAGAGCUUAUCCUGUGGGGGCACUCACUGGGGCUGGUGGCCGGGAAAUCCCAGGUGUUUUGUUGGUUUGAGUUUUGU